rnacentral:rRNA from 1 species
AUGAACGCUGGCGGCGUGCCUAAUACAUGCCAGUCGCACGCUGGAAAUCUAGCUUGCUAGAUUGAAGGAGUGGCGAACGGGUGAGUAAUACAUAAGCAACCUACCCACGAAGACUGGGAUAAUCUCUGGAAACGGGGACUAAUACCGGAUAGGUAAUCGGAAGGCAUCUUCUGAUUAUUAAAGGUUAAAAACACUGGUGGAUGGGCUUAUGGCGCAUUAGUUAGUUGGUGAGGUAACGGCCCACCAAGACGAUGAUGCGUAGCCGGCCUGAGAGGGUGAACGGCCACAUUGGGACUGAGACACGGCCCAGACUCCUACGGGAGGCAGCAGUAGGGAAUUUUCGGCAAUGGGGGAAACCCUGACCGAGCAACGCCGCGUGAGUGAUGACGGCCUUCGGGUUGUAAAGCUCUGUUGUAAGGGAAGAACGGUAGAUAGAGAAUAUCUAAAUGACGGUACCUUACCAGAAAGCCACGGCUAACUACGUG